rnacentral:rRNA from 1 species
GACGAACGCUGGCGGCGUGCUUAACACAUGCAAGUCGUACGGUAAGGCCCUUUCGGGGGUACACGAGUGGCGAACGGGUGAGUAACACGUGAGUAACCUGCCCACAACUUUGGGAUAACGCUAGGAAACUGGUGCUAAUACUGGAUAUGUGCUCCUGCUGCAUGGUGGGGGUUGGAAAGCUCCGGCGGUUGUGGAUGGACUCGCGGCCUAUCAGCUUGUUGGUGGGGUAGUGGCCUACCAAGGCGGCGACGGGUAGCCGGCCUGAGAGGGUGACCGGCCACAUUGGGACUGAGAUACGGCCCAGACUCCUACGGGAGGCAGCAGUGGGGAAUAUUGCACAAUGGGCGCAAGCCUGAUGCAGCAACGCCGCGUGCGGGAUGACGGCCUUCGAGUUGUAAACCGCUUUCAGCAGGGACGAAGCUUUUUGUGACGGUACCUGCAGAAGAAGCACCGGCUAACUACGUG